rnacentral:lncRNA from 1 species
CUUGCCUGUUUUUCUGGAGCUUCUAAUACAUCAUUUUUUUUCCCAGCUGUAUAGUAUUCAGUUGGAUUGAGGCAUCAUAAUUUAUUUUGACAAGGUCCCCUCUGGUUGGACGGACUCUUUGGUUUUCAGUUUUUUAUUAAUGUGAAGGGUGCCGUAGUAAGUAUCCUUGUACAUACAUCUCUGCAUCAUUUCUUAUGUAAUGUUUGAGAGUCCAGGAAUGCUGCUCGCCCAUCAAACCUGAUCCCCCUGCCCCCAGCCCCUUGCCAUUGCCACCCUUUGCCUUGCUGAUUACCUUCCUUUAAACCAGUCCAUCUAAAGGUUGGUGUUAAGAGGCUUCCCAUGGGAGGGGUGGCCCCAGGUAAUACCCAUCUUCCUCUCCCCAGGCUCUGAAGAGCGGCCAUUCCUCAGAUUCGAAGCUGAACACAUCUCCAACUACACAGCCCUUCUGCUGAGCAGGGAUGGCAGGACCCUGUACGUGGGUGCUCGAGAGGCCCUCUUUGCACUCAGUAGCAACCUCAGCUUCCUGCCAGGCGGGGAGUACCAGGAGCUGCUUUGGGGUGCAGACG